AUUCUUAAAAGUAAUGAUUUCUCAUUAAGGCUCUUGCACCUGCUUGUGAAGAAAAGACAUCUGACCUUUAAAAAAUAUUCCAUGGGUCUGAAUCAUCUAAGUAUAUUGUAGCUUUAUUCUUGCAGACAAGGGAAACCAAGAAUGAUCUGGAUAAUGGAGAAACCUGUUAAUACAACUGGAUUUGAAUCACACUACUGGCUGAAAUUCACACAACCGGAUUGGGAUCCCACUGUGUAAUUUUAGGAUGCUCAAGCAUCAUGGCAUCAUUUCCAGUGGAGUCGCUGAACUUGUAGGUUGUCUACCUGACACCUCGAGGUCCUUACACCAAGAAGUCAGCUGUGAAGCCCGCUGAGUCCUCGGGUGGAUGUCUGCCACCACAUACAUAGCCUUUGCUGGUGGCUUGGAGAGCUGGCAGGUCAGCCACAGAAAGUGGGCAAGACCUAGUCAGUAGCGACAGGAUAUGUUCCCAGGAUGGACAGCUGCCUGAUAUGCGUUCAGUUCCAGUGCCAAAGCCAAGGGCUGCCAGUGCCCUUCCUUCAUGCUAAGGACUUCUCUCUCUCCAGG
ensembl:lncRNA LINC02948 long intergenic non-protein coding RNA 2948